GAUGAACGCUGGCGGCGUGCUUAACACAUGCAAGUCGAACGGAAAGGCCCUGCUUUCGUGGGGUGUUGGAGUGGCGAACGGGAGAGUAAUACGUGAGUAACCUGCCCUGGACUUUGGGAUACCAUCAGGAAACUGGGGCUAAUACCGGCUAGUAGCUCCCGUUGCAUGGUGGGUGUUGGUAAGUUUCGGCGGUUGGGGAUGGACUCGCGGCUUAUCAGUAUGUUGGUGGGGGAGUGGCUUACCAAGGCUUUGACGGGUAGCUGGCCUGAGAGGGUGACCGGCGACAUUGAGACGGAGCUUACGCCCAGACGCAUACGGGAAGCAGGAGUAGGGAAUAUUGGGCGAAGCGCGGAAGCCUGAUGCCGCGACGCAGCGUGCGGGAUGACGGCCUUCGGGUUGUAGACCACUUUCGCCUGUGUCGAGACGUAAGUGACGGUAAUGGAUAAAGAAGCACCGGCUAACUACGUG
rnacentral:rRNA from 1 species